rnacentral:rRNA from 1 species
UGCCAGCAGCCGCGGUAACACGGAAGCCCCGAGCGUUGUUCGGAUUCAUUGGGCGUAAAGGGUGCGUAGGCGGCGCGGAAAGUCCGGCGUGAAAGGCAGGGGCUCAACCUCUGGACUGCGUUGGAUACUUCCGUGCUUGAGGACUGGAGGGGAGACUGGAAUUCACGGUGUAGCAGUGAAAUGCGUAGAUAUCGUGAGGAAGACCGGUGGCGAAGGCGAGUCUCUGGACAGAUCCUGACGCUGAGGCACGAAGGCUGGGGGAGCGAACAGGAUUAGAUACCCUGGUAGUCCCAGCAGUAAACGAUGUGAGCUUGAUGUGGGGGGAUUCGACCCCUUCCGUGUCGAAGCUAACGCGAUAAGCUCACCGCCUGAGGAGUACGGCCGCAAGGCUAAAACUCAAAGAAAUUGACGGGGACCCGCACAAGCGGUGGAGUAUGUGGCUUAAUUCGAUGCAACGCGAAGAACCUUACCUGGCCUUGACAUGCAUUGUGUCGUCGGUGAAAGCCGGCUAGUCCUGGAAACAGGACGCUUUGCACAGGUGCUGCAUGGUUGUCGUCAGCUCGUGUCGUGAGAUGUUGGGUUAAGUCCCGCAACGAGCGCAACCCUUGUGGUCAGUUACUAACCGGCUUAGCCGGAGGACUCUGGCCAGACUGCCCUGUCAAACGGGGAGGAAGGUGGGGACGACGUCAAGUCAGUAUGGCCCUUAUGGCCAGGGCUGCACACGUACUACAAUGCCCGGUACAAUGUGAACCGAAACCGCGAGGUGGAGGAAAUCGCUCUUGAAAACCGGGCCCAGUUCGGAUUGGAGUCUGCAACUCGACUCCAUGAAGUCGGAAUCGCUAGUAAUGGCG